GGUCUCAGAAGUUUCACACCGUGUUCGUGCUCUUCAGCAAGUCAGCAAUGGUACUGGUGUUGUUGUUCCGGCUGUGGCAACUGUUUCCCGUAACCGUCGACCUGUUGCUUCAUUCGGUCCUUCUGUUCCUGCUGCUGUCUUUGGCGUGGCUUCCGCUCCUCCCCCCUCCCCUGGGGUUCCUGUGCCUGCGUCUACUGAGCUUUCGUCGACUGAACGCUCCAUUGCCCCUGCCCCUCGUCGUCGUCGGGGACGUGGGCCACGCGCCGGUCGCUCGGGACCUCCUCCAGGCGAUCUUCGUUACUUUUUAUCACGAGGC
rnacentral:lncRNA from 1 species